CCUACGGGUGGCAGCAGUGGGGAAUAUUGCACAAUGGGGGAAACCCUGAUGCAGCAACGCCGCGUGAAGGAAGACGGUUUUCGGAUUGGAAACUUCUGUUCUUAGUGAAGAAUAAUGACGGUAUCUAACGAAUAAGCACCGGCUAACUCCGUGCCAGCAGCCGCGGUAAUACGGAGGGUGCAAGCGUUACUCGGAAUCACUGGGCGUAAAGAGUGCGUAGGCGGGGUAAUAAGUCAGAUGUGAAAUCAUGUAGCUUAACUACAGAACUGCAUUUGAAACUGUUACUCUGGAGUGUGGGAGAGGUAGGUGGAAUUCUUGGUGUAGGGGUAAAAUCCGUAGAGAUCAAGAGGAAUACUCAUUGCGAAGGCGACCUGCUGGAACAUUACUGACGCUGAUGCACGAAAGCGUGGGGAGCAAACAGGAUUAGAUACCCUUGUAGUC
rnacentral:rRNA from 1 species